UACGUAGGGGGCGAGCGUUGUCCGGAUUUAUUGGGCGUAAAACGCUUGUAGGCGGCCACCGCGCGUCGGCUGUGAAAUCUCCCGGCUCAACUGGGAGGGGUCAGGCGAUACGGCGGGGCUCGAGGCAGGUAGGGGGAAGCGGAAUUCCCGGUGUAGGAGUGACAUCCGUAGAGAUCAACAGGAACAUCAGAGGCGAAAGCGGCCACCUGGCAAUGUACUGACGCUGAGGAACGAAAGCGUGGGGAGCAAACAGG
rnacentral:rRNA from 1 species